CUUGGAAGCAGCCAUCCUUGAAAGAGUGCGUAAUAGCUCACUGGUCAAGUGAUUCCGCGCCGACAAUUCAGCGGGGCUCAAGCCGUCCGCCGAAGCUGUGGCGUCCGCGCGUGUGCCAGGCGCCGGGUCCUGCCCGGUGUCCAGGCGCGUGGAUGGGUAGGGGAGCGUUGUGCGUGCCGUGAAGCGUCGGGGUGACCCGGUGUGGAGUGCGCGCAAGUGAGAAUGCAGGCAUGAGUAGCGUUUUGACGGGUGGGAAACCCGUCCGCCGAAUAUCCAAGGGUUCCGGGGUCAAGUUGAUCUGCCCCGGGUGAGUCGGGUCCUAAGGCGAGGCCGACAGGCGUAGUCGAUGGUUGACGGGUUGAUAUUCCCGUACCGGCCCAGCAACGUUCCUGUCGAAUCGGAUGAUGCUAAGCACGCGAGAUGUCUCCGGCGCUUUCGGGUGCUGGUGGUGUCGAGUCUGUGAACCGAGUCUGUAGUAGACAAGCUGCGGAGGGACGCAGGAAGGUGGCUCGACAGCCGUCAUGGUAAGGCUGUCAAGUCUGUAGGGUGACUGGUAGGCAAAUCCGCUGGUCGUGUGCCUGAGAGAUGAUGAGAGGGGCCCUGUGAGAGGGUCCGUGUUCGAGUGAUCCUAUGCUGCCUAGAAAAGCUUCGUGAGCGAGUUGUUGUGCCGCCCGUACCCCAAACCGACACUGGUGGAUAGGUAGAGAAUACCGAGGCGAUCGAGAUAAUCGUGGUGAAGGAACUCGGCAAAAUCCUCCCGUAACUUCGGAAUAAGGGAGACUUGAGGCGUGAGGGGCCCGCGCGGCCCUCAGCGCCGGGAGUCGCAGUGAAUUGACCCAAGCGACUGCUUACUAAAAGCACAGGUCCGUGCGAAGUCGUAAGACGAUGUAUACGGACUGACUCCUGCCCGGUGCUGGAAGGUCAAGGGGAACCGUCAGCCUCACGGCGAAGCGGUGAACUUAAGCCCCAGUAAACGGCGGUGGUAACUAUAACCAUCCUAAGGUAGCGAAAUUCCUUGUCGGGUAAGUUCCGACCUGCACGAAUGGAGUAACGACUUGGGUACUGUCUCCACCACGAACUCGGUGAAAUUGCAUUACGAGUAAAGAUGCUCGUUACGCGCAGCAGGACGGAAAGACCCCGGGACCUUUACUACAGUUUGGUAUUGGUGAUCGGUGCGACUUGUGUAGGAUAGGUGGGAGACUGUGAAGCGGCCACGCCAGUGGCCGUGGAGUCGUCGUUGAAAUACCACUCUGGUCGUUCUGGUUAUCUAACCUCGGACCGUGACCCGGUUCAGGGACAGUGCCUGAUGGGUAGUUUGACUGGGGCGGUCGCCUCCCAAAGAGUAACGGAGGCGCCCAAAGGUCCCCUCAGCCUGGUCGGCAACCAGGUGUCGAGUGCAAGUGCACAAGGGGGCUUGACUGUGAGACGGACACGUCGAGCAGGGACGAAAGUCGGGACUAGUGAUCUUCUGGUGGCGUGUGGAAGCGCCAGAACUCAACGGAUAAAAGGUACCCCGGGGAUAACAGGCUGAUCUUGCCCGAGCGCUCACAGCGACGGCAUGGUUUGGCACCUCGAUGUCGGCUCGUCGCAUCCUGGGGCUGGAGUCGGUCCCAAGGGUUGGGCUGUUCGCCCAUUAAAGCGGCACGCGAGCUGGGUUAAGAACGUCGUGAGACAGUUCGGUCCCUAUCCGCUGCGCGCGUAGGAAUCUUGAGAAGGGCUGUCCUCAGUACGAGAGGACCGGGACGGACCAACCUCUGGUGUGCCAGUUGUUCCUCCAGGAGCAUGGCUGGUUGGCUACGUUGGGAAGUGAUAACCGCUGAAAGCAUCUAAGUGGGAAGCACGCUUCAAGAUGAGGAUUCCCCAGCCUCGUGCUGGUAAGGCCCCCGGCAGACCACCGGGUUGAUGGGUCGGACGUGGAAGCGCCGCGAGGCGUGGAGCUGACCGAUCCCAAACGGCCGAGAGGCUUGCCACA
rnacentral:rRNA from 1 species